rnacentral:rRNA from 1 species
CUACGGGAGGCAGCAGUAAGGAAUAUUGGGCAAUGGACGGAAGUCUGAUCCAGCCAUGCCGCGUGCAGGAUGAAGGCGCUCAGCGUUGUAAACUGCUUUUGGAUGGGAAUAAUAACCUCGACGUGUUCGGGGCUUGAAGGUACCAUCAGAAUAAGCACCGGCUAACUCCGUGCCAGCAGCCGCGGUAAUACGGAGGGUGCAAGCGUUAUCCGGAAUCACUGGGUUUAAAGGGUGCGUAGGCGGCGCGAUAAGUCAGUUGUGAAAUUCCCCGGCUUAACCGGCGGGACUGCGAUUGAUACUGUCGUGCUUGAAUCAGGUUGAGGUAGGCGGAAUGUGGCAUGUAGCGGUGAAAUGCUUAGAUAUGCCAUAGAACACCGAUUGCGAAGGCAGCUUGCUGGACCUCGAUUGACGCUGAGGCACGAAAGCGUGGGGAGCAAACAGGAUUAGAAACCCUAGUAGUCC